rnacentral:tRNA from 1 species
CCACUGGUAGCUCAAUGGUUGAGCAUCUUUUGUAGAAAAAGACUGUCGCAGGUUCGAUUCCUGCCCAAUCGG